UCAUAGCUGGUACCCAGAAGGUAGUGAACCGAAGACACUAUGGGCAAAAUACAGUGCUGGAGGUGUGGGGAGGGGACAGGGAGAAGAUGCGGCGGUCCCUGGCCUCAGAGGGCUACCGUCCAGGGGUUCGGUGAGAUAAGCAAACAGAAGCUUGCAGAAUGAGGCAGGGGAAGGUGCUGGGGAUACGGACCGAGAACCCACCUUGGUCUGGGAGGAGCUUACAACAUUUGAAAGAAGACAGAUUCAUGAAAAACAUAGGAUUCAUGAAAAACAUAAGCAACAAGAACCAAAAGGAGGACACUGGAUCCCAAGAUGGUGGACAGGGAGAUUGCUGGAGAAGCUGAUGGGUGCUAUAUUAUUUUAUGGUGUUAUUUUAUUAUUAUCAGAUAAGCAGGGUUGGCCAGGCAGAGUUGGGGGUGGGUGCUGUAGGCAAAGGGUCAGUGUGAGCAAAGACCAGGAGGGCGGAAAGGAGUAGGGGGCACGUGUGCACGGGUAACUGCAGCGGGCGUGGCUUGGCUGGAUAUAAAGGACAGGAUGGGGAUGACAGGGCCACAGAAGGAAGGUCACAUGUGCCUCCUAUUAAGAAGUCUGGACUUCAUGGGGUGCCUCCCUGACUCAGUUGGUAGAGCACACGACUCUUGAUCUCGGGGCCGUGAGUUCAAGUCCUCCAUUGGGUGUAGAGCUUACUUUAAAAAAGAAAGAAGUUUGGACUUCAUUAAGGAGCCAGUGGGAAUCCCCUGAAGGGUCUUACAUGUGCUAUCAUCCUCCUUCAGGGCAUAUCCGAAGGGCUCCUGCCUCAACCCAGACUUCACUCUUCCUCAUCCCUGACCCAACCCA